rnacentral:lncRNA from 1 species
ACCUUGAGGUGUUUUAUUUCAGUGUAAUUCUUAAGUUAAAAUCACGCUAAACCAGUUCAAUGGGAAAUUUUGAGGAUUAAAUGUAUUAACUAAAAUGUCAGACGUUUUAUUCCUUCCAAAAUGUCAGAUUUGUCUAGACUUGCAUCAUUCAGGUAUGUUCCAAAGUGCAAUACCACUUCGAUACUCCGGGUGACAUAGUGUCCACUUCACAAACAGUGAAGCCAUUUUGGCUUAUAUGGACGCCUUUCUUUUCCCCAACGCAGUUAAGCCAAAACUACGCCCCGUUAUUCAGCGCAGAGACAGUGACCUUCCAAGGACUGAGAGCAAGGUGGAUGGAGAGACCCAGAAGAAGAGCCGCAAUUUCCUCCUAGAGUCCGGGUCAGCCUCCAGCGAGUCAGACUGUGACUUCAACCCAGAGGAAGAGGGGGACCCCGUAUCUCAACUAAAACCUAAAUGCCCUCCUCCUGCCUGUAUGGCACCCCCCUCUGAGUCCCGGACCCCUCUCCUCCCCGCAUCCUCUAGUUCCCUCUCCCACAAACUCCCCCCUCCACCCCUCGGGGCCUCAUCCAAGAGUGGCGUAUUCGCCAACCCCUUUAAGGCGCAAGCCGACCAGAAGCUCAACGUCUUGCAGAAGCACGUCCCUCUCACUCUGCUGGCCCGGCCCUCCCAGAUAGGAGGCAAGAGGAUGUGCGUGGCGUACAGGAAGGACGGACGCUGCAGGUUCGGGAUCAAAUGCAAGUUUGCCCAUGACAGCGACCUCCAGAGCUCCAUCAUUCCCAAUGAGUAUGACCCCCCUGCGGGUGACGAUCCCGGAUCGGACCAAGCUGACCCCAACGCGGGGGGCUUUUCAUACAUGGGUCGCCAGAACUUUCACCACAACCAGGGAGGAGACCCUGAAGAGGAGGGUCAGCAGUCUAGGAAGAGGAGAGUAGGGCUGAGUAACACCCUAGUGCCUCCUAAAAGGUCAAUGAAGAAUUAUGCAAUGCAGAGGAAGAGAGAACAGGUCAAUUUGAACUGAGUGACUUGCACAGGGAUACUGUCAGCAGCAAUAUACUGUGUGUGUGUGUGUGUGUGUGUGUGUGUGUGUGUGUGUGUGUGUGUGUGUGUGUGUGUGUGUGUGUGUGUGUGUGCGCACCCUCACAUCGUUUUAGUGUGUGACAGAGAAAAUGGGAAUAUGUUCCAAUUUUGUACCCUUAUUCUGCACUCAUUUACUCCCCCUCAUGGAUGUAAAAGGAAUGGACUGGUGUAAAAUAGGGUUUAAACUUCUCCCUACCCAUGAUUACAUUAAUGUAAUGGAGUGAGUGCAAACUUCUGUUAGAAGAGAAGAUAAUCAGACCACAGCCAGAGAGUAUUCUAUAGGAUACCUAUAGCACACUUCCACAUUUCUGUUCAGUCCAGUACAUAUACUUCAGAUUGGUAGUUUCUACAUGAAACGUUUAUGUAGUUUCAUUGAAAACGUAUUCCUUUCUGUAAGAAACUGUCCAUUGGAAAUAUAAGCUACAAUUUGUCAUUGUUAAAUAAAUGCUUUAAAUGUUUGUAACUUGUGUUUGUGAUCACUUAAUGAUGAAUGGGCAUAGGAACUGGCGAUACGAAUAAAGUUAUGGAUCGAGUUCAGGAAAAUAUAGAAUUAUUGAUGAAAGUGGAUUUAAACUUUUGCUUUGAUUAGAGAAAGAUUGAAAGAAGAGGCAGCACAGGGUUACUUUUUUGGAUCAGUUGCAACACACUCCGGCAUCAGUCACAAUGUAAGCACACACACUUAGCUCCUGCUUUUUGGGAUGGAUCUAUUGGAGCUUCUACACACCAGUGAAUGACGCUUCUCUUUUGGAGUCCAAAGCCAAAAACUGCAAUGAAAGCUAAGAUCGAGCGGAACAGACAGCGGGCUCUGAUGCUGAGGCAAUCCCCGACUGGCUAGUAGACCAUUGGCAAGAGAGCGGGGUGGCACCUCGGCUAAAGUCGCAAAAAACAGUCGACUUUGGAGGAGGGUUCUUCAUUGAUGGAGAGGGACAGGAGGAGCAAAGGGGAGCUAAGGUGGCGCAUCAACCAGGUAUGUACAUUUUAUAACUCAUCAAACAUUGCAGGAGGCAGCGGGGUCAUAUCUGUUGCGUUAGGUCAGCGUCUAUCAGAGGUCAUCUCUAGCUGCUAUGCUGUCUUAUCUGUCGAAGAUGUCAGAUGUGUAACAGAAAAAGAUCUAUUGGUUCAUGUGUACUGAUUCAUGCCACAGCAAAUGCCAGUGACCGAGUGGAGUCAGUUUCUUUCUAUAGCCUAGCUACCUGGAACAAUGGCCAUGAUUCAAUGGUUUACGACACAGUGACAACCAGCCACUAUCUGAAUGACUGUUAAGAAG